rnacentral:rRNA from 1 species
AACGCUGGCGGCGUGCCUAACACAUGCAAGUCGAACGGGGUGAAGAGCUUCGGCUUUUCACUUAGUGGCGAACGGGUGAGUAACGCGUGAGAAACCUGCCUUUCAGUGGGGGACAACAGUUGGAAACGACUGCUAAUACCGCAUAAUGCAUUUAGGGGGCAUCCCCUGAAUGCCAAAGCUUUAUGUGCUGAAAGAUGGGCUCGCGGGACAUUAGCUAGUUGGAGUGGUAGCGGCACACCAAGGCGACGAUGUCUAGGGGUUCUGAGAGGAAGGUCCCCCACAUUGGAACUGAGACACGGUCCAAACUCCUACGGGAGGCAGCAGUGAGGAAUAUUGGUCAAUGGACGGAAGUCUGAACCAGCCAUGCCGCGUGAAGGAUUAAGGCCCUAUGGGUCGUAAACUUCUUUUGUGGUGGAGCAAUAAGGUCUACGUGUAGAUUGAUGAGAGUACAUCACGAAUAAGCAUCGGCUAACUCCGUG